rnacentral:rRNA from 1 species
UACGGAGGGUGCAAGCGUUAUCCGGAUGCACUGGGUUUAAAGGGUGCGUAGGCGGGCAUGUAAGUCCGUGGUGAAAUCUCCGAGCUUAACUCGGAAACUGCCAUGGAUACUAUGUGUCUUGAAUGUUGUGGAGGUGAGCGGAAUAUGUCAUGUAGCGGUGAAAUGCUUAGAUAUGACAUAGAACACCAAUUGCGAAGGCAGCUCACUACACAAAUAUUGACGCUGAGGCACGAAAGCGUGGGGAUCAAACAGG